CCUACGGGAGGCAGCAGUAGGGAAUCUUCCGCAAUGGACGAAAGUCUGACGGAGCAACGCCGCGUGAGUGAUGAAGGUUUUCGGAUCGUAAAGCCCUGUUGUUAGGGAAGAACAAGUGCCGUUCAAAUAGGGCGGCACCUUGACGGUACCUAACCAGAAAGCCACGGCUAACUACGUGCCAGCAGCCGCGGUAAUACGUAGGUGGCAAGCGUUGUCCGGAAUUAUUGGGCGUAAAGCGCGCGCAGGUGGUUCCUUAAGUCUGAUGUGAAAGCCCACGGCUCAACCGUGGAGGGUCAUUGGAAACUGGGGAACUUGAGUGCAGAAGAGGAAAGUGGAAUUCCAAGUGUAGCGGUGAAAUGCGUAGAUAUUUGGAGGAACACCAGUGGCGAAGGCGACUUUCUGGUCUGUAACUGACACUGAGGCGCGAAAGUGUGGGGAUCGAACAGGAUUAGAUACCCUGGUAGUCCACACUGUAAACGAUGAUUACUCGCUGUUAUGGUGUAUGCUGUAGCGGCCAAGCGAAAGCGUUAAGUAAUCCACCUGGGGAGUACGCCGGCAACGGUGAAACUCAAAGGAAUUGACGG
rnacentral:rRNA from 1 species